UACGGAGGGUGCGAGCGUUGUUCGGAAUCACUGGGCGUAAAGCGCGUGUAGGCGGCCCAUUAAGUCUGAUGUGAAAGCCCGGGGCUCACCCCCGGAAGUGCAUUGGAAACUGAUGGACUCGAGUCCCGGAGAGGAGAGUGGAAUUCCUGGUGUAGCGGUGAAAUGCGUAGAUAUCGUCUGGAACGCCAAUGGUGAAAACAGCUCGCUGGGAAUGAUCUGACACUGAGACGCGAAAGCCAGGGGAGCGAACGGG
rnacentral:rRNA from 1 species